UAGCGGCGUGUCAGCGUGUGGAUAACAGACGCGCAACUCUGACUCCCGUAGAGAGCCUAUGCAGGAACUCUAGGACAGCAUUCACCAGCUUCGGAGUGAAGCUCUGCUGCUAGCACAGAUGUCGCCAUAGUCUCGAGGCACCGUCUGGCAAGGCGAGAGGCUCUGCUUGUAGCACAGUCGCUACCAUAAUCCCG